rnacentral:miRNA from 1 species
UGCAUAUUUUGGUAAGAAGAUAUUAACAAGAGUUGUUCGUCUUGUUGAGGGCUACAACUUUGCUUAAUAUCGUCUUACCAAAUUAUGCUUAUUUAAGGAGAUAGGUCUGCGUAUGCGCAGUACGUAACUCCUUACGCUUGCAUAUUUUGGUAAGAAGAUAUUAACAAAAGUUGUUCGUCUUGAUGAGGGCUACAACUUUGCUUAAUAUCGUCUUACCAAAUUAUGCU